rnacentral:rRNA from 1 species
GAUGAACGCUGGCGGCGUGCCUAAUACGUGCAAGUCGAGCGAACAGAUGAGGAGCUUGCUCCUCUGACGUUAGCGGCGGACGGGUGAGUAACACGUGGAUAACCUACCUAUAAGACUGGGAUAACUUCGGGAAACCGGAGCUAAUACCGGAUAAUAUAUUGAACCGCAUGGUUCAAUAGUGAAAGACGGUUUUGCUGUCACUUAUAGAUGGAUCCGCGCCGCAUUAGCUAGUUGGUAAGGUAACGGCUUACCAAGGCAACGAUGCGUAGCCGACCUGAGAGGGUGAUCCGCCACACUGGAACUGAGACACGGUCCAGACUCCUACGGGAGGCAGCAGUAGGGAAUCUUCCGCAAUGGGCGAAAGCCUGACGGAGCAACGCCGCGUGAGUGAUGAAGGUCUUCGGAUCGUAAAACUCUGUUAUUAGGGAAGAACAAAUGUGUAAGUAACUAUGCACGUCUUGACGGUACCUAAUCAAAAAGCCACGGCUAACUACGUG